rnacentral:lncRNA from 1 species
UUUGGAGAAUGUCCACCUUCAAACCUUAUAACCCUCAAUCACCUUUGUGAUCUCCCCUCCAACCACAACUCCAAUCCUUAUUUCCUCCCAUCUUUAUAACCCUCAAUCACCUUUGUAACCUCUAAUCUUCCUGCAUUACUAAGUUCUGGGUGUAAAGAAAGCUAUUUUCAAUAAAAUUUUAUCUUUUCAAAAUAUUUUAUUUUCUCUAUCUUACUUUGCAAAUAUCAAUUAUUUCAGAGUGAAGUUGGAC